rnacentral:rRNA from 1 species
UACGUAGGUGGCAAGCGUUAUUCGGAUUUACUGGGUGUAAAGGGCGUGUAGGCGGGAGUGCAAGUCAGAUGUGAAAACUAUGGGCUCAACCCAUAGCCUGCAUUUGAAACUGUACUUCUUGAGUGCUGGAGAGGCAAUCGGAAUUCCGUGUGUAGCGGUGAAAUGCGUAGAUAUACGGAGGAACACCAGUGGCGAAGGCGGAUUGCUGGACAGUAACUGACGCUGAGGCGCGAAAGCGUGGGGAGCAAACAGG